rnacentral:rRNA from 1 species
GACGAACGCUGGCGGCGUGCCUAAUACAUGCAAGUAGAACGCUGAAGGAGGAGCUUGCUUCUCUGGAUGAGUUGCGAACGGGUGAGUAACGCGUAGGUAACCUGCCUGGUAGCGGGGGAUAACUAUUGGAAACGAUAGCUAAUACCGCAUAAGAGUAGAUGUUGCAUGACAUUUGCUUAAAAGGUGCAAUUGCAUCACUACCAGAUGGACCUGCGUUGUAUUAGCUAGUUGGUGGGGUAACGGCUCACCAAGGCGACGAUACAUAGCCGACCUGAGAGGGUGAUCGGCCACACUGGGACUGAGACACGGCCCAGACUCCUACGGGAGGCAGCAGUAGGGAAUCUUCGGCAAUGGACGGAAGUCUGACCGAGCAACGCCGCGUGAGUGAAGAAGGUUGUCGGAUCGUAAAGCUCUGUUGUAAGAGAAGAACGAGUGUGAGAGUGGAAAGUUCACACUGUGACGGUAUCUUAACAGAAAGGGACGGCUAACUACGUG